UAUUAUGAUUUGAUGUUUUAAUGCAUGUGUUCAUGAUUAUUUGUAAGGUCCUUUAAAGAAUAUAUGUACAAGGACUUAGUGAUAGAUCAAAAUUGUUAUGUUGAUCUAAGCUUUCAACGUGUAUCAUUCUGUUCUAGAAUGUAUAGAUAGAAAGAUCAAAACCGUUAGGUUGAUCUUGAGAUAUAAUAGAUUAGUCUUGAAGAAAUCGUAGUGCAUCAAUCUGAUCAACAUCGCAGAAGUCAAG
rnacentral:lncRNA from 1 species